rnacentral:rRNA from 1 species
UACGUAGGGGGCAAGCGUUGUCCGGAAUUAUUGGGCGUAAAGCGCGCGCAGGCGGCUAUUUAAGUCUCAUGUAUAACCCCAAGGCUCAACCUUGGAUCGCAUGGGAAACUGGGUGGCUUGAGUGUAGGAGAGGAAAGUGGAAUUCCACGUGUAGCGGUGAAAUGCGUAGAUAUGUGGAGGAACACCAGUGGCGAAGGCGACUUUCUGGCCUAUAACUGACGCUGAGGCGCGAAAGCGUGGGGAGCAAACAGG